rnacentral:rRNA from 1 species
CUGGGGGGGGGGGUUUACCAUGCAAGUCGAACGGUGAAGCAGGAGCUUGCUCUUGUGGAUCAGUGGCGAACGGGUGAGUAACACGUGAGCAACCUGCCCCGGACUCUGGGAUAAGCGCUGGAAACGGCGUCUAAUACUGGAUAUGAGACGUGACCGCAUGGUCAACGUUUGGAAAGAUUUUUCGGUCUGGGAUGGGCUCGCGGCCUAUCAGCUUGUUGGUGAGGUAAUGGCUCACCAAGGCGUCGACGGGUAGCCGGCCUGAGAGGGUGACCGGCCACACUGGGACUGAGACACGGCCCAGACUCCUACGGGAGGCAGCAGUGGGGAAUAUUGCACAAUGGGCGAAAGCCUGAUGCAGCAACGCCGCGUGAGGGAUGACGGCCUUCGGGUUGUAAACCUCUUUUAGCAGGGAAGAAGCGAGAGUGACGGUACCUGCAGAAAAAGCGCCGGCUAACUACGUGCCAGCAGCCGCGGUAAUACGUAGGGCGCAAGCGUUAUCCGGAAUUAUUGGGCGUAAAGAGCUCGUAGGCGGUCUGUCGCGUCUGCUGUGAAAUCUGGAGGCUCAACCUCCAGCCUGCAGUGGGUACGGGCAGACUAGAGUGCGGUAGGGGAGAUUGGAAUUCCUGGUGUAGCGGUGGAAUGCGCAGAUAUCAGGAGGAACACCGAUGGCGAAGGCAGAUCUCUGGGCCGUAACUGACGCUGAGGAGCGAAAGGGUGGGGAGCAAACAGGCUUAGAUACCCUGGUAGUCCACCCCGUAAACGUUGGGAACUAGUUGUGGGGUCCUUUCCACGGAUUCCGUGACGCAGCUAACGCAUUAAGUUCCCCGCCUGGGGAGUACGGCCGCAAGGCUAAAACUCAAAGGAAUUGACGGGGACCCGCACAAGCGGCGGAGCAUGCGGAUUAAUUCGAUGCAACGCGAAGAACCUUACCAAGGCUUGACAUACACGAGAACGGGCCAGAAAUGGUCAACUCUUUGGACACUCGUGAACAGGUGGUGCA